AGAUUGUGUAAUACACCGUUGAAUUUUGAUUUAGGGGCCUAAUUUAUGGAAUUCGCCUCGGCCCUCGAUAAUCAUAGGACCGGCCUUGAAAGGAAGAAGAAUUAUAUUUUUCAUUUUUUUGGUUUUUUUUUUUUUUUUUAAAUUUAAAUAUGAAGGCUGGACUGUUAGGGUUUGAUUUAUUUAAGUACUUUAUUGAUGGAAUUUUAGUAGAUAAGCUAAGCAAUAGUAUUUACAUAAUAGAUUAAUUUAAUCUAUGAUAAAGCUAUGAUUUAAAGAUCUCAGCUUCAACAAAAUCUGCAGAUCCUUUUUUAGUCUUCGCGUUGACAGUGUUGAUGGUGGUUUAUUUUCAUGUAACCCAAAAAAAUAUUAAAGAAAACAAGGAGAUUGAUCCAUUACUGACUAUGGACUGCCUUGGAUGAAGUGG
rnacentral:lncRNA from 1 species